GCGGGGCCAUGGGCUCUGGUGGCCGCGAUUCCCGAAACCAGCCCACUUCGCAGGGGACGGCCCCUCCCGGAGGGGGGAGCAAUGCGCCCGGCUCCGCGCCGUUGUCCUCGGGUCAGGGCUAAGUCGUGGAGGUCGGGCGACGCGGACAUGCUCUGGAUUCGGGGACACAGCCCGCCCCACUGAUGCCUGGCGGCGUCGGCGGUCGGACCCACAGGCUCAGACUCUGGCAGGAAGAGAGGGUGGUGGGUGGUGGGGGCUGGAGGUAGCAAGAAGGGCCUGGACCAGACGCGUGGCCUUUUGCGCCUUCAUCCAUUCCUGCAGCGUCACUGAGUGCCGGAUCAGGGGCUCGGGAACUGGAGGUUCGGCCGGAAGUCGGGUUCCACCCUCCGACGUGGUCACGAAUGUAUCAAACAUCAUUCAGUGCUAGGUGGGGUGGGGUGCCCCAGUGAUAAAAGACAUUAGGGCUGGAAUAAAAGCCAAGGAGAGCUUCUUUGGGGACGUGGCUUGAUUCCUGGAAGGGAUGGAAUUUCACCAGGGGGUCUGGAGAAGGAAAUUUCUGGAAGCUGGAGGGCGUGAGCUGUGGGUGUAGUCAAGGUACCAUCCCCCAGUGGAGACUUUGGGAAAGGAGUCCUGUUCGAAGUGAAGUCGUUUAAUACCAAACCGAGGAAUUUGAACUCACAGAACUAUGGAGAGUCCUUGACAAAGGGACAUAAGCCAUCAUUUACUCAGAAUCCACUUGGAGUCAGUCACUGUACUAGGAAUUCGAAAUACGAAAACCAUGAACUCAUAAUCCCUUUUGUAAGCAGCUCGCUGUCUGUUGGAAGAGGCAGACACAACGGCAACAGAGUGGGAUGUUGAACAGACACACGGAGAGCGACGGCAGACGACCCUAACUGAACGCCUGCGCCUGCUGGGUGCUGUAAAGGGCUUCAAGUUUAAUACUAACAAUUGCUCAAGAUGGUAGCUUUAUAGGAGAUGAAGGGAAAUGAGAUUUGCAAAAGCUAAUGUGCCCAGUUUCACACAGUGAGUGGAAGAGCCAGGAUUUGAAUCUCAGUGUAACUGAAAUCAAAGCAGAUAGUCCAUGGACUACACCCUCCUUUCUGUAGCAGGAGAGGUUGCUCCCUCAUUGCCAUCCACAAAACAUAUUUGCUCCGUUGUUUACACACAAUGUUCAUGCCCCGUUUACAUCUGCUUCUGUUUCCUGAUUUCAUUAGCAACUGUCUUGCUAAUGAAGUAAGUGGGGUAUAUGCUGUCACUACCUGUCAUUUCCUAUUGAUAGCCCAGCACAUUGCCUGGUGCUCGGGGGGACGUGCCAUCUAUGCUGUGCCUCCCGUUUGGACAAUGUGGGCUGGAUGCCAGCCACUCCUUUGGAACUUACAGUUUCAAGUACACUUAUUUAGUGUGCAAUCACAAUCUUCAUCACAGAAUAUUUAAUUUCAUAUUUUGCUCUGGUCAUGAAAUAUACAUAAGUGUAUUUAAUAACUAGAUGUUUUUCUCUAGUUGUUUUAUGGUUUUUUUCCCCCCAGAUAUUAGCUCUUUGGGGCAAGGAUCAUGUGUUCUUUUUCCUUUCCAAAGUUUACAGAGUCUAGGCCAGUACUGCGUGCACAUUAAUAAAAGUCAACAGUUUGAGAAUUCAGUAAUACUUUUAAGAACCAUUUGAGAUCUGCAGUAGCAUAUGCACCCACAAAGGCAUGAUCACUUCAGUGUUUUUUUUUUUUAAAGUUUAAGUCAUUGGGUGAGGCAGGAAGACAAAAUUUAGGAAGCAGGCUCUUUCUAUAAGUAGCCAAGGUAACUUCUAUUUGGCUCAUUCAAACAAACAUCCAGGCAACCGAGCGGAAAAAUAGCUCAAUUGUCUAUUUUGCUGAAGGAGAUGUCUGUUCUAAUCUCACUCUCCAGCAAGGUUUGGCUGCUGACCACAUAUGGCCACCGAAGGGUCCUUCAUUUACCAGAUGUCAUGUAGAGUUAAAUUUAGUACUGUUUCCGUUUCAGGGGAAUUCACUUAAUUCAUGAGUAGGAUGAUUGCUGCUUUAAACAAGUUAAAUUAAGCUCCAUUGCUAGAGGGAGACCGUAAAUUGAAUGACCAUCCCCAGCGAAGUCUGAGAGUCAAACAGGAUCUGGCGCUCAAUUUUCAGUAUUUUCAAAGGAGAUUUGGAGCAAAGAGACUUUGGGGAAACACGAUCAUGUUCAUCGAUGUGUUUGGUUUGGAAGAUACCGCAGUUUUCAGGAUAACAUUUAAUCCUUCUAUCGCUACAUCCUGUUUUCAUCUGGAUGUUUUGCUGGUUCAUUACCAUCAGACCUACAGUAACACCUGCCUUUUGUUGUUGUUUCAAUAGUCUAUUUUUGUUUAUGUUAUUUGCAGACUCACAUAAAACACACACACACACACACGAUUUUACCUAGACUCUUUGAAGGUAAGUCUCAAACGUGUCCCGUUACCUCCGAAUACUCUAGUGUACGUUUCCUAAAAACUGGAACAUUCUCUUACACAGCCACAAUGUACUCGUCACAAUAAGAAUGUUAACGUUGAAUAUGCAUGUGUGGAUAUAUAUAUAUAUGAUUAUAUAUCAGUAUAUACACCACUAUGUAUCAUUAUCCAUGUAUGUGGUACAUAAUCUGUUGUCAUCUAAUUUACUGAUCUUUUUCCAAGUUCAUCAGAUGUCAAAAUGAUGUCCUUUAAUAGCAGAACAUCCCCGCUUAUAAGUUGCUUUCAUAACAGUUUAUCCUGCUUUAAUUUGAAAGAGUUCCUCGUUCCUUAUCUUUCAUGACCUUGACGGUUUUUAAGGGUGCAGAUUACCUCUCAGUUUGGGUUCGUCUGACGUGUCCUUUAUAAUUAGAUGAGAUCUUUGCAUACGUGUUGGCAGGAGGAGCACAGAAGUGAUGAGGUGUCUUUCUCAGCACGUCGUGUCAAGAGGCACGUGGUGUCGGUUGGUCCUGAUGUUGCCGGUGUUCACGCUGGCUGCACCGGGUACAUUCGCGUCUCCCGGAUUUCUCCACCAUAAAAUUAUGGUACCUCAGACGAGUGGAAUCAAGCAGUAUUUGCCUUUUGGAGACUUAUUCCACAGAGCGCAGUGUCCUCAAGGUGCAUCCAUGUUGCAGCGUGUGUCAGAACUGCCGUCCUUGUCCAGGCUGAAGAACGCUGCCCGCGUGCACCACAUUUGCUCGUCCAACCGCCCUUCAGAGACAGCUGGGCUGCUUCUACACUUCGGCUGCUGUGGACGCUGCUGCUGUGACCAGGGGUGUACACACACCUACUGGAGCCUCUGCUUUCUGUUCUCUGGGGUCUAGGCCCAGAAGUGGACUUGCUGGAUCAUGCGGUAACUCUAUAUUUUCACUUUUUGAGGAGUCACCAUGCUGUUUCCAUAGUGACUGCACCACAUUUUACCGUCCCACCAACAGUCCACACAGGUUCCAGUUUCUCCAACGUUCUCACCAAUACUUACUCCCUGUUUUGUUUUUUGUGGUUUUGUUUUUUAAUAGUUUCCAUCCUAAUGUGUGUGAGGUGGUAUCUCACUGUGGCUCUUGCUUUGCAUUUCCCUAAUGAUUAGUGAUGCUGAGCAUCUUUUAGGUGUGUAAUGGCCAUUUGCAUAACUUCUUUAGAAAAAUGUCUAUUCAAGCCCUUUGCCCGUUUUGGAUUGGGUUUUGUUUGGAGUCUCCAUCAGUAGUGGUCCCUUUUUAAAGUUCUUUAUUUUGAAAAAUUUCAAAUUUGAGA